CUUCUCUCGCAUCUUCACUCCAGUUCACAGCCACGCUCGCGGAACCGCAGGUGUCGCUAUGGUUUGACGCCUCGGCACCAUAGAUUAUGGGCAAAUGAACAAGGGCGAACGCCCUCUGAAUACAAAGCAGUUGGCCCUGCAUUUCCUUUGACUGGCCAAGACGACGUAUCAUAAGAGGAAGAAAACAACGUGGAACAAGCUGGAAAGUCCAUGGUUGCGGCGUCAUCACCGGUGACCCAGAGGACGCGAAUUUCCGCCGACGCUUUAGGCAACUUUGUUCAUCAGGCAUGGUCUCCCACUGGCGGCCGAGCUCUCGCCGAAUGGCUAUAUACUGGCACUGCUUAUAGCAGUGCACCAUUCCUAGCCGGAAAGAGGCACCAUGCUUUCCGACGUCGCAUGGAGUUUACGGGACGACCGAAACGACAGUGGCGUCACCGCGGUUGACAGCGGCGGACAUUUUGAUGCGCCCGGAUGUCCGAGCGUGUGACCCACGAGCGUGCUGCCUUCGCGUGUCGAGAAUAGACCACCUUCGUGUCCCAGGUGUAGUGUGUGCUGGCCGCAGCCCGUUCAAGGACGUUGACCUGCAGGGUGGGUGCGGGUGGCCUCCUUCGAAAGUGGCGUGUGUGCGUGCUGCGAUUGGACAGAGCAGAUCUGGGGGAAAAGACUUUCGACAGGAGACCAUCAUGACGUAGCGAAAACGUCGUCUUGUGUCAAGAGAUUUUCAAUUGUCGAAAUGCUCGCUCUGUAAAUGAUCAAUCAACCUCUGUAAAAAAAA